GCCGGGCGUGGUGGCUCACGCCUGUAAUCCCAGCACUUUGGGAGGCUGAGGCGGGUGGAUCACCUGAGGUCAGGAGUUGGAGACCAGCCUGGCCAACACGGUGAAACCCCGUCUCUA
rnacentral:SRP_RNA from 1 species